GACGAACGCUGGCGGCGUGCUUAACACAUGCAAGUCGAACGGAAAGGCCCUGCUUUUGUGGGGUGCUCGAGUGGCGAACGGGUGAGUAACACGUGAGUAACCUGCCCUUGACUUUGGGAUAACUUCAGGAAACUGGGGCUAAUACCGGAUAGGAGCUCCUGCUGCAUGGUGGGGGUUGGAAAGUUUCGGCGGUUGGGGGUGGACUCGCGGCUUAUCAGCUUGUUGGUGGGGUAGUGGCUUACCAAGGCUUUGACGGGUAGCCGGCCUGAGAGGGUGACCGGCCAAAUUGGGACUGAGAUACGGCCCAGACUCCUACGGGAGGCAGCAGGGGGGAAUAUUGCACAAUGGGCGGAAGCCUGAAGCAGCAAAGCCGCGUGCGGGAUGACGGCCUUUGGGUUGUAAACCGCUUUCGCCUGUGACGAAGCGUGAGUGACGGUAAUGGGUAAAGAAGCACCGGCUAACUACGUG
rnacentral:rRNA from 1 species